GACGAACGCUGGCGGCGUGCUUAACACAUGCAAGUCGAACGAUGAAGCCUUUCGGGGUGGAUUAGUGGCGAACGGGUGAGUAACACGUGGGCAAUCUGCCCUUCACUCUGGGACAAGCCCUGGAAACGGGGUCUAAUACCGGAUAACACUCUGUCCCUCAUGGGGCGGGGUUAAAAGCUCCGGCGGUGAAGGAUGAGCCCGCGGCCUAUCAGCUAGUUGGUGGGGUAAUGGCCUACCAAGGCGACGACGGGUAGCCGGCCUGAGAGGGCGACCGGCCACACUGGGACUGAGACACGGCCCAGACUCCUACGGGAGGCAGCAGUGGGGAAUAUUGCACAAUGGGCGAAAGCCUGAUGCAGCGACGCCGCGUGAGGGAUGACGGCCU
rnacentral:rRNA from 1 species